GGAUUUGCAAUCCUCUGCCUUACCACUUGGCCAUGUUGCCGUUUUUUGUUUAAAAAAAUAAAAAAA
rnacentral:tRNA from 1 species